AUACGGAGGGGGCUAGCGUUGUUCGGAAUUACUGGGCGUAAAGCGUGCGUAGGCGGACUAAUAAGUAAGAUGUGAAAUCCCAGGGCUCAACCCUGGAACUGCAUUUUAAACUGUUAGUCUAGAGUUAUGGAGAGGUAAGUGGAAUUCCUAGUGUAGAGGUGAAAUUCGUAGAUAUUAGGAGGAACACCAGAGGCGAAGGCGGCUUACUGGACAUAUACUGACGCUGAGGUACGAAAGUGUGGGGAGCAAACGGGAUUAGAAACCCUAGUAGUCC
rnacentral:rRNA from 1 species